ensembl:lncRNA
ACUAAGUCCUGUACGUUCAAACCCGUGUGCGAUCCAGAUCACGGUUACACACCCUGCACCCGGAGACCCAACAGCUGUUUCUGCAACUUGAACUGCGACCUUUUGCCGCUGCGGAUGGACGCCCGUUUUCUGCAGAGUUCUGGCCCUCAACCGAGUGGGAAUAUUCUCCUUCCAGCACUACAACCUCAUCUGACAUGGAGACAACCAGAACCUUGUCUGUGAGAGCAGGACAAUCCACAAAUUCCUCAGAACUAAGAGUUCAGCAGGAUUCAGUGCUGGCAAAGUAUGUAGAUCGCUUUCGACAUGGUCGACCGCAGAGUCGCGAGGAACGCAAGCAGGGCCCUUCAGACGACGGAGAGAAGCAGCAGCCUUUUUGGUGGAUGUCACCCUCCUCUUCACCCUGCAGUUCAACACCCACUAAAGCAGCAGAAAAAGAUGGUAUCCAGCCUCUGAAGUAUGACCACGGAUUUGCCAUUUUCAGUCCAGAUGGGCAGCAUCGACAUGACGGAUCCCUUUCCCCAUGCAGAAGGUCCAUUAGUAUGUUGUCAGACACCUCUCAAGGGGAAUUUGAUGACACAGAGAUUCAACACCUGCAAGAAAAGGCUAGCAGACUCCUGCUGAAAGGGGAAUGCACUCCGAGUGAUGGAUCAAACCCUGUCAGCUCAGAGGAUCUGGGAUGCUCAGACUUCUCUUCUCCAGUCAGCGUAUAUGAGCAAGUACGAAGACCUUUUAUUCCCAUUAAGACAAGAGUAUCAGAAAAGUUCAGCUCAGACGCAGUUCAGAACAUGUUCUGCCAAAAUUCCUCUGUCCUUCCUUUUGUGGUGCCGCCCACACGGCGGGAAGAGGACAUCUUGUUCCAGUGGCGUUUAAGGAGAAAGAUGGAGCAGGCCAGGGAGGGAUCGCAAUCCCUGCAACACGCCGGUCUUCAUGAUCCCACAUCCAACUGGCCGGCUCCCAGUUCAAGCCGUCUCUCUGCCAGAGGAGCGGCUUACAAGCAACAGCAGCCUCCAGAAUGCUCACAGCAAUCUUCACAGCCACACAUCAUCGCGGCCCGGCCACAAACCGAAGAAGCCCCCAGAUCAUGUCCCCAAGCUUCAGAUCCAACUCCCUUCCCUGCCGCUGUUGCCUCUGGCUCUUCAGUCUCUCAACCACAGGCUGUUGUGCAAGUGCCUGCACACAUGCAUUUACUCUGUGACGUCGUGCCCUGUCCCGUCCGGUCAUCCCUUGCGAGCAUUCAUCGACACCUUUCUGAAGGAAUCGAUGGGUCGCAGACAAAGGACGUCUCUGAAAAGACCCAAAAGCCACCUGAGCAUUCGCCUCCUCUACCACCUGCAUCCUCUGGAGCUAUGGGAAGAGCUGAGCUGAUUCACCAGAGCAGGUCUGAGGGAGGAAAGAAAGAGGAAGACGAGACAAGAGUGUCGGAGACAAAGAAGGAGCCGUCUUUGAGAAAGAAGAAGAAAUCCACAAGAUGUACUGCGCAAAGGGAACACGUUGAUGGCCCCGCUCCUACAAACAGGAGAUUUUCAUAUAAAACCGUUCCCAAAAUAGUCGUGCCACGGCAACAGGAAGGAAGCGAGGGGUUCCAGAGCUCUGCUGGUGUUCGUGCACCACCCACGUCUCCGAUCCACAGCGCCCUCGGACAGGUAGUUUCGGAGGUAUUAUUUCCCACGGUGGAUCCAUCUCCUGGACAAAAGGACCCGGUCUGGUUGGGUUCUUCUCCUUGUGCUGCCUCUGAACCUCCACAAUCCUCAGUUCCUCCACGCACUGCACACAACUCUAUGGAGGUCAUUUCCCAGCUGCUGCAAGAAGCUGAAGAUUCAGAUGAAAAAGAGUUUGAAGAUGACCCUUUAUUACAAGUUCUUCGCAGGCAGAGGAAAUGGGUAAAGAAGCAGUUCAGUGAAGUAGACGCCGUGUUGAAUGAAUUCCUGGAAGAGUGA